rnacentral:lncRNA from 1 species
AUAAGGAAUAUGCAUUUAAGGAACGUGUUCAGAGCAUACAACUAACUAGAACACUAAAAGAAUGAUAUAAAAUGGAAUGAAUAAAAGAAUGAGUCACACACCAAGAGGACUCGAAAAUGCCGAUGCGGAAGUGCCUUGAUUGUCGGGAUUGUACGCCUCGAUCCUAAAUCCUGAAGGGGGCGCAAAACAAACAUGAGUGGACCAAGUUGAUAUAUAUAUAAUAAAACAGUUAUCAAUAUACUAACCCCCAGGUUUAUGAAAACAAAUAUAUAAUGAUGAACAUAGGUUUUCCGAAACCUAGCAUGAUGUGCAGUAUCUCAAAUCAUAACUCAUAUAUAAUAAUCACUAGUGAAUUGUCCGAUAACCUGCAGGCCCCAUGCCGGCUCCCCGUCUCUGAGCAGACAGUCAGAGGAAAAUACACUUCAGGCCCCAUGCCGGCUCCCCCGUCCCUGUGCUAAAUAGCCAGAGGAAAACACACUCCAGGCCCUAUGCCAACACCAAACCGUCGCCCGGGACGGACCGGAAUCUAUCCCUACGUCCCGUAGCGGAAAGGACCACUAGGUAAGUACAAAACCAUUGAACAUACAUAUAUUGAAAAACAACUUCAUAGUAUAAAGUCAUCCAUCAUCUACUACUAUAAAGAGGUGUUCGAAACAUGUUCUAAAUAUCAUAUCGUCAUCCAUCAGAUAUUCUAUAAGAACACGGGUUAUAGGAAAAAUAGUAAUAAUUCAAGGUAACCUCAGUAAGCAUGUUAUCUCAAAACGUUUCAUAAAACGUAAUCAUUAAAUCAUGCAUUUCAUGUAUGCAUUUCUACUAUUAAAACAUGCUUUUGAAGGGGUCCACUCACAGUACUUAGCCGCCGAAGAGCCACGCAACUAACGUCACCAAUAUUGCCCCUA